CACGUGAGGGCGGGGCGGGUCCGACCCUCCGGGUUUAAGGAAAACGGUUUAAAAGGUUUUUUUUUUUAAUGUCAAAACAGGGCCGUAACUACGGUCACGUCUGCUGAGGGAGCGGUCAGCGGUGCGCAGGUAAAAACUCCUCUCUACAAAUCGCUGAAGGUCAGAGGAAGAGUAACAAGUUGGCUCAAGAACUGGGACGUGACUGAAGGCUGAUAGAAACAUUUAUUUCAGUCUGCUGAAUGAGCUGAAUAACCAAAACACUUCGGGGUUUUUGUUUGUUGUCCAACAUUUACAUAACUUGAAAAUAAAGAAGCGAAGAGGAAAAAAGCCAUCACGUCCUGAAA